UUUUCUGCAAGUUGACAUUUUACCAUUUCAUUUUACCAUUCAUAGUCCCAAAGCCUCCUGCAGCUUUUAAAGGAGUAAUUUCAGAUAUCCACUCCCACAGCUCUAAGAACAACUCGUUUCAAUCUUGGGACCUUGACCAGAAUUCAGGGAAACUAGCAUGAUCCUUCCAGUCUGACGUUUCAUUCCAUCUACUAUCCAAAGCUGUUCUACAAGGCAUCACCUACAAGACAAUAAAACAAACCCUCUGAAAACAGGAAAUCUGCCAGAAGCUGACAAGCUGGGAAGAAAUAAAAUCAGGAUUUAAGCCAGUUAACAGAUCCCCCCCGCCCCGUGUGAAGAAUAUAUGCAGUUGGACGCAGUGGCUCACGCCUGGCUGAGCCCAGCACCCUGGGAGGCUGAGGCAGGUGGAUC